rnacentral:rRNA from 1 species
GACGAACGCUGGCGGCGUGCUUAACACAUGCAAGUCGAACGAAGUGGCGAACGGGUGAGUAACGCGUAAUCAACCUGCCCUUCAGUGGGGGACGACCGUUGGCCACGACUGCUAAUACCGCAUAGUGAUGGAGGGGAGUGCGUGGGAUGAGCUAGUUGGAGGGGUAACGGCCCACCAAGGCGAUGAACAGUAGCCGGUCUGAGAGGAUGAACGGCCACAUUGGGACUGAGACAUGGCCCAGACUCCUACGGGAGGCAGCAGUGGGGAAUCUUCCGCAAUGGACGAAAGUCUGACGGAGCAACGCCGCGUGAGUGAUGACGGCCUUCGGGUUGUAAAGCUCUGUUAAUCGGGACGCGGUACCGGAAUAGAAAGCCACGGCUAACUACGUGCCAGCAGCCGCGGUAAUAC